GAUGAACGCUGGCGGCGUGCCUAAUACAUGCAAGUCGAGCGAAGCGGGGCCGGGUGAUUAACACGUGGAUAACCUCCUAUAAGACUGGGUUAACUUCGGGACACCUGAGCUAAACCCGAUACGUAUAGAUGGAUCCGCGCUACAUUAGUUGGUUGGUAAGCUAACGGCUUACCAAGUCAACGAUGCAUAGCCGACCUGAGAGGGGGAUCGGCCACACUGGAACGGAGACACGGUCCAGACUCCUACGGGAGGCAGCAGUAGGGAAUCUUCCGCAAUGGGCGAAAGCCUGACGGAGCAACGCCGCGUGGAUGAUGAAGGUCUUAGGAUCGUAAAGCUCUGUUAUUAGGGAGGCGGUACCUAAUCAGAAAGCCACGGCUAACUACGUGCCAGCAGCCGCGGUAAUUC
rnacentral:rRNA from 1 species